GGGUGAGUAACGCGUGGGAACGUACCCUCUUCUGCGGGAUAGCCUCUGGAAACGGAGAGUAAUACCGCAUACGCCCUUUUGGGGAAAGAUUUAUCGGAGGAGGAUCGGCCCGCGUUGGAUUAGGUAGUUGGUGGGGUAACGGCCUACCAAGCCUACGAUCCAUAGCUGGUUUUAGAGGAUGAUCAGCCACACUGGGACUGAGACACGGCCCAGACUCCUACGGGAGGCAGCAGUGGGGAAUCUUAGACAAUGGGGGCAACCCUGAUCUAGCCAUGCCGCGUGAGUGACGAAGGUCUUAGGAUCGUAAAGCUCUUUCGCCUGUGAUGAUAAUGACAGUAGCAGGUAAAGAAACCCCGGCUAACUCCGUGCCAGC
rnacentral:rRNA from 1 species